GAUGAAGAACGUAGCGAAAUGCGAUAAUUAAUGUGAAUUGCAGAAUUUAGUGAAUCAUCGAAUCUUUGAACGCACAUUGCGCCCGCCAGUAUUCUGGCGGGCAUGCCUGUUCGAGCGUCAUUACAACCCUCAGGCCCCCGGGCCUGGCGUUGGGGAUCGGCGGAAGCCCCCUGCGGGCACAACGCCGUCCCCCAAAUACAGUGGCGGUCCCGCCGCAGCUUCCAUUGCGUAGUAGCUAACACCUCGCAACUGGAGAGCGGCGCGGCCACGCCGUAAAACACCCAACUUCUGAAUGUUGACCUCGAAUCAGGUAGGAAUACCCGCUGAACUUAAGCAUAUCAAUAAGCGGAGGA
rnacentral:misc_RNA from 1 species